ensembl:lncRNA NTRAS non-coding transcript regulating alternative splicing
GCCUGUCCCAACCCUGGCCAUGGCUGACAAGGGGCCCAGGGACACUGGAGCAGAGAGACCUGCUGGUCCUUGGGGUUUCUUGCAAGCUGCCUCUAAAGGGAAAUAUCCCAGGAGUGAUGAAAACUUGAAGAUCGAGGAUUGGAUAUAAGCUCAGAGGUGAAGGAGGGAAAUUCCUCGGGUCAACUUUAGCGGACUGAUCCACGGGGUCUGCCAAGAGACAGGAGCUCGAGGGUUAAACCCAAGCACUCGGGAGUCAGAUGUAUGAAUCUGAAUCUCAGCCUCUCGGCUUGCUGUGUAAUCUCAGGCAAGUGACUUUUCUGUUCUGUAAAUCAGGCUGAUAGCGGGGGAACCUCUCUCACAGGGCUGCUACAAAGAUUGCAUGAGAUUUUGCUCAACAAAUAUUAGCUGUUGGCUCCAGAGUUUAAUACCUCUGAUCACUACAAGCUUUGAAGGCAAGAUAAAAUAACUUCAACAUGUGAGUACCAGGAGGCCUUGGUGAAAAGCAAGCCUGCCGGGAGAUAAUGCCUGGCUGGGUCAGGAUUCUUGGUGCUUAUUGACCACUGGGCACUUCAGAGCAGAACUCAUCAAAGCCUCUGUAUUGGGACAAGGGCUAGGGUGGAGGGGAGGAUUGGGAAGGGAGAGGGGAGACUGUCCUUCUUUCUACUAAAAGUUACUGGCAAGAGAAUGGGAAUUAACCAGGCCUGGAAAAGUAAUUUAGGUAUUAGAACUUUGAACUCUUUUUUUAAAAACAAAAGACAAAAACAGCUUUAUUGGGAUAUAAUUGACAAAUAAAAAUUGUGUAUAUUUAAGGUGUACAA